rnacentral:rRNA from 1 species
GACGAACGCUGGCGGCGUGCUUAACACAUGCAAGUCGAACGGAAAGGCCCUGCUUUUGUGGGGUGCUCGAGUGGCGAACGGGUGAGUAACACGUGAGUAACCUGCCCUUGACUUUGGGAUAACUUCAGGAAACUGGGGCUAAUACCGGAUAGGAGCUCCUGCUGCAUGGUGGUGGUUGGAAAGUUUCGGCGGUUGGGGAUGGACUCGCGGCUUAUCAGCUUGUUGGUGGGGUAGUGGCUUACCAAGGCUUUGACGGGUAGCCGGCCUGAGAGGGUGACCGGCCACAUUGGGACUGAGAUACGGCCCAGACUCCUACGGGAGGCAGCAGUGGGGAAUAUUGCACAAUGGGCGGAAGCCUGAUGCAGCAACGCGGCGUGCGGGAUGACGGCCUUCGGGUUGUAAACCGCUUUCGCCUGUGACGAAGCGUGAGUGACGGUAAUGGGUAAAGAAGCACCGGCUAACUACGUG